UACAGGGGGGCAAGCGUUGUUCGGAAUUACUGGGCGUAAAGGCUCGUAGGCGGCCAACUAAGUCCGACGUGAAAUCCAAGGCUUAACUUUGGAACUGCGUCGGAUACUGGAUGGCUUGAAUUCGGGAGAGGAUGCAGAAUUCCAGGUGUAGCGGUGAAAUGCGUAGAUAUCUGGAGGAAUACCGGUGGCGAAGGCGGCAUCCUGGACCGACAUUGACGCUGAGGAGCGAAAGCUAGGGGAGCAAACAGGG
rnacentral:rRNA from 1 species